GGUCAAUGUCAGGAGCGGCAGCGGCGAUCCACCAUGGAGUUUUUGACGCAACCUAACGGCAGAUCUGCUCUGCUUGAGGAGGUGGGUGAGAGUUUUGUGCCUGGCCCUCAAGUUGGGAUUGGUGGUGCGCUGGCGGAGACGGUCGUGCCGCAGCAGCAUCAGCCUGCCAUGCCACAGCAGCACGUGCCGGCGGCGAGCGGAGAAGCGCAGAUCUGGUCGACCAAGGAGGACGGAGCGGCAAGAAGGGAGAGCUCUCCUCCGACGUCUAAGCUGUCGACGAGGAAGAUGAAUCCCAGGCUCUCCAAUUGAAUACGAGGCUGAGAAUUGGUGCUACUGCGCCAAGCAGAGCACCGUGCCUGACUCGAGUCAGUGCGUUUGAGAAAGCUGUUAGGUGUUUUGCAAAGAAGCCGUCUGAAAAUGUGAUCACGCCCAUUCUUGGCACUACA